UGCAGAAAUACAGAUCUCAUUUCCCCCAAAAACCAAAUGGGGGCUUUUCCAGCCUACCCGACGCCCUCUUCCCAAAAUCACUUCUCCGGCAAGUUUGAUGCGGUGAUUUUCCCUCUCCCUUCCAAACUCGGCUCUUUUCUCUUUCGUAUCUCCUCUCCUUCGUAUCUAGCCAAAAUCUAUGCAUCUACCCAAACCCUAGUGAAUCGAUUAAAUGCAAACAACUCAAAUUUUUUGCUUUCUUCUCUGAAGAGGCAAAAACCCUAACCCCUUUGUCUACCAUUCCUUCAACCAUUUUGGUAUUCAGGUUGCUGUUCUUCAUAAUUCCUGACUUGCUGGUGAGGGUUUAGAUCUUCAUUAUGCAGAGGGUAAAUCGCACAAAAUCCAGACAGGCAACCUCCCUCUUCCACCUUAUUCUGUAUAUGUUUUUCAUAUGUAGCUGAUUGAUGUUUUCGGAAUUUCCAUUUUCAUAUUGGUGAAUGUGCUUGAGUAGCGUAUGUGCCUUCCUUUUUUCCUUUUUAUGUGAUGCCUUCUUGAUCUGUCUAAUCUUCUUUAUACUUGUUAGGAUUGAAGUUCUUAGGUGUCAGAGAAAUUUGUUGAAUCUUGCUCUUGAAAACAAUGUAUUCAUUUUCUUUUAGCCUCUAUCUUAUGAAAUGUAAAUGAUUGUAUUUUUUUUCUUACUGUUUUAAACAAAAGAAAAAGUAAAGCAUGUAUUCUUUUGGCUUUCUUUUGUAACGGAAAGUUUAAUUAUUGGUAGAGCACUCCAGUAAAUAUCAUUGUAGCUUCUCAUGUGUGGAUUGAGGACCAACCAAUGUUGCUUGGUUUGUUGGAGAAAGGUAAAUAUGUUAGUAUUACCUUGUUGAUUGGUGGUGGAUGUAGUUGAUGUUAGAUGGUAGUUAUGGGUCGUUCAAAGUUUAGAUACUCUAGCAGUUCUAUGUCCAUAUACUCAUGAGUUUGUUGUGUCCUUGUUACUAGCUGUCCUUAUUUUUAUGCAUUUCUGCAGAAUAUUGAACAGGGAAAGAGCUGCAAACUAAUAUGUUAUGUACAUUCACAAGAAUCAAUUAAUCUAUCUGUAGCUUUAACCGGUUCAAAUAGACUAAAGAAGCUGGGUACUUUCUGAAAUAGUAUAAGUAUCAUAUACUAUAUAUGUAGUUGUCUAUAUUUUCCAACUUUUCAACUAGUUUAUGUGAAUUGCGUAGCAUUACGAGCUGAUGGACCAGGGCAUUGUGGUUUAUUUAUAAUAGAAUCAAAGUUAGUAUCUUAGAUAAUAUUAACAUAUUGUAGGACAUAGGAUAUACAUGCUAGUUAAAUUUCAGAAAAGUUAAUCAUCAAUGGACCAUUAUUCCAUGUUUGUGCUCUUAUUUUACUACGUUUUAUUUUGCCAUGUGCUUCUGUGAAGUUCUUCCCGAUCCAUCUAUAUGGAUAACCUUCCAUUUGAGCGUCUUUGAUGAUCUUGUUCAAUGUGAAUAAAUUUAUUACUAUGUAUGUCUGUAGAGUGCUGUUUUGUCGAAGGUAAGUAGUAGGAAAUGCAUUUCGAUGGAAAGAAACCAUCAGACCAUGGGUAAAGAGGCAUGAGCAUUUUUAGCGAUGGUUACCACUACGGUGAUGGUUAUUCUUGGGACGUGCUUCCUUCUAAGCCCUUUUGGUACAAAUGUUCCUGGUUCUAUCACUCCAUCCCUCAUUCUUGACAACAAGAUGUUAGCCCUUUCACAAGGAUAAAGUACUUCAACAACUGGAAAAUAAAAUGAAGUUGCUCGAAGACAAGUUUGAAGAUAUGAUCCUUUGUAUUUUUUCUUAAAAUAGCAGUAUAAAGUUCUUCAACAAGUAGGAGCUCAAAACAUUUGAUUUCUUUUUUUUCUCUUUCCAUGUGCAUAUACAAAGUACAAUGUAUUAUGGAGCGUCGUAUACUUUGAUGUAUAGACUAUUUGGUAAUGAAAACUUCGUACAUAAUUUUGUUUAAGCGUA